GCUUAAGAUAGUUACGCCCCGCUUAUGUGAUUACUUUUCUAUUGUCAGUUUAAAGGAUGGCAAGGAGGUUAGGUACAGGCCCGACUUCGGGCGUCGAAGUAGACGACAACUGCAUCCAGUCGUACAUAAAACUCCAGCUUCAGCACUCAUCUCAGUUCAUCAUCUACCGGCUGUCGGACGACAAAAAACGCAUCAUUGUCGAUAAAAUCGGACCAGUGGGAUUCCAGAUACAAUACAAGUGAAGCAGCGGAUGUUAUACAGUAGUAGUGUGCGCGCAUUAAAAACAAGACUUCCCGGAAUUCAUAUAGAAAUGCAGUGUAAUGACGAUUCCGAUUUAGCACAAUCCAAUCUUCUACAGCGCUGUUUAGAACGGGGAUAUGAUUAGAUUUUAGGACAAACUCAUAUGAAUCACAAAGAUAUAGAACAUCGAAAUACAUCAAAUGGCUUUCAUUUAUAACAGCUACAAUAAAUAUUUUCGCGAUUUGGUUUUUAUUUAUUGUGGUGUUUUUGCCCAGCCCUAUGUACAGCGCAUGCCAACAACAUAUGGUGUAGAUUUGGUUAACAUGGAAAUCCUCAAGCAGUAGUGUUUUCAUAUAUCUGUUAUGCGAGGCAUCCUUCCUGUGAAUGAUGCAAUAGUGCGAUGACAAGUGAUAGUGAAGCUAAGAAUCUGAUAAAGAGGCUACAUAUUUACAACACAGUGAUAAGGGGAGCGUAUCUGAUCCACUGCCAAACAAGCCUGAGAAUACACGUAACUCUUCUUGUGGCACUGAGAGAUGACAAAUAUUGCUUUACUUUAUUUAUUAAAACACUGAUAUGACGUUUUCCUUUUCUCUUGCAGUCAGAAUGUUUACGUUUGGCAGUCAGAUAUUUUUGAGCUAAACGUCAUUCUGAUAUCACACUUAUAUAAAACUGUACUCUUAAUUAUCAGACCGUUUCAAGUUAAUUAACAACUCAACUAAUCAAAUUGAAUUGCAGUUGUUGUACAUUAUUACGAUGUAUGCCUCGUAAACGUCUGCAUGAAAAACAUAAUUAUUUAGACAGUGUUAGCCUCUUUGGCCGCAAUGGGUCAAAAUGUCUGCUUGUUUUUCAUACAAAACUGUUGUAUUCGAAAUUUAUUCAUCGAAACAUGUAUCAAGUACAUGUAUAACUUACAUAACAAAUUCUCUCUGAUGAAGAUUUUAUAAAUGGACGAUAUAUCAGUUUAACCGGUGGGGUUUUUCUCUUUAAAUAUAUGACUGUGGUCUUAAAGAAAAUAAACCCACCAAACAGAAUUGUAACUUUCGCUGUUAAUUUUGUUGAACAUUAUUAUUUUAAUAAACAAAACAUACAUGU
rnacentral:misc_RNA from 1 species